rnacentral:rRNA from 1 species
UACGUAGGCAGCGAGCGUUGUUCGGAGUUACUGGGCGUAAAGGGUGUGUAGGCGGUUCUCUAAGUUUGGUGUGAAAUCUCCCGGCUCAACCGGGAGGGUGCGCCGAAAACUGGAGGGCUAGAGUGCGGGAAGGGAGAGUAGAAUUCCUGGCGUAGCGGUGAAAUGCGUAGAUAUCAGGAGGAAUACCGGUGGUGUAGACGGCUCUCUGGACCGCGACUGACGCUGAGACACGAAAGCGUGGGUAGCAAACAGG